rnacentral:rRNA from 1 species
GUGCACCAGUCGCGAAACUUUACAAUGUGCGAAAGCACGAUAAGGGAACUCUGAGUGCCUCCUAAGGAGGCUGUUCAGGUGUCUAAAAAGCACCUGAAGGAAGGGCUGGGUAAGACCGGUGCCAGCCGCCGCGGUAACACCGGCAGCCCAAGUGGUAGCCACGUUUAUUGGGUCUAAAAGCGUCCGUAGCCGGCUGGGUAAAGUUCCUUGGGAAAAUUUGGCUGCUUAACAGUCAAAGCUUUCAGGGAAUACUGCCCGGCUUGGGACCGGGAGAGGUCAGAGGUACUCCAGGGGUAGGGGUGAAAAUCC